rnacentral:miRNA from 1 species
AGCGAAAAAUACGGGGUGUGUGUGUGUGUGUGUGUGUAUAUAUAUAUACACACACACACACACACCGUAUUUUUUGCACC